rnacentral:rRNA from 1 species
GACGAACGCUGGCGGCGUGCUUAACACAUGCAAGUCGAACGAUGAACUCCAGCUUGCUGGGGGAAUUAGUGGCGAACGGGUGAGUAACACGUGAGUAACCUGCCCUUGACUCUGGGAUAAGCGCUGGAAACGGCGUCUAAUACCGGAUACGAGCUUCAGCCGCAUGGCUAGGAGUUGGAAAGAAUUUCGGUCAAGGAUGGACUCGCGGCCUAUCAGCUAGUUGGUGAGGUAAUGGCUCACCAAGGCGACGACGGGUAGCCGGCCUGAGAGGGUGACCGGCCACACUGGGACUGAGACACGGCCCAGACUCCUACGGGAGGCAGCAGUGGGGAAUAUUGCACAAUGGGCGCAAGCCUGAUGCAGCAACGCCGCGUGAGGGACGACGGCCUUCGGGUUGUAAACCUCUUUUAGUAGGGAAGAAGCGAAAGUGACGGUACCUGCAGAAAAAGCACCGGCUAACUACGUGCCAGCAGCCGCGGUAAUACGUAGGGUGCAAGCGUUGUCCGGAAUUAUUGGGCGUAAAGAGCUCGUAGGCGGUUUGUCGCGUCUGCUGUGAAAUCUGGGGGCUCAACCCCCAGCCUGCAGUGGGUACGGGCAGACUAGAGUGCGGUAGGGGAGAUUGGAAUUCCUGGUGUAGCGGUGGAAUGCGCAGAUAUCAGGAGGAACACCGAUGGCGAAGGCAGAUCUCUGGGCCGUAACUGACGCUGAGGAGCGAAAGCGUGGGGAGCGAACAGGAUUAGAUACCCUGGUAGUCCACGCCGUAAACGUUGGGAACUAGAUGUGGGGACCAUUCCACGGUCUCCGUGUCGCAGCUAACGCAUUAAGUUCCCCGCCUGGGGAGUACGGCCGCAAGGCUAAAACUCAAAGGAAUUGACGGGGGCCCGCACAAGCGGCGGAGCAUGCGGAUUAAUUCGAUGCAACGCGAAGAACCUUACCAAGGCUUGACAUAUACCGGAAACGGCCAGAGAUGGUCGCCCCGCAAGGUCGGUAUACAGGUGGUGCAUGGUUGUCGUCAGCUCGUGUCGUGAGAUGUUGGGUUAAGUCCCGCAACGAGCGCAACCCUCGUUCUAUGUUGCCAGCACGUUAUGGUGGGAACUCAUAGGAGACUGCCGGGGUCAACUCGGAGGAAGGUGGGGAUGACGUCAAAUCAUCAUGCCCCUUAUGUCUUGGGCUUCACGCAUGCUACAAUGGCCGGUACAAAGGGCUGCGAUACCGUAAGGUGGAGCGAAUCCCAAAAAGCCGGUCUCAGUUCGGAUUGAGGUCUGCAACUCGACCUCAUGAAGUCGGAGUCGCUAGUAAUCGCAGAUCAGCAACGCUGCGGUGAAUACGUUCCCGGGCCU